CACACACAUACACAUACACAUCAACUCUCCCCUGCCCCCCCUUUCCGAAUUAAAAGUCGCCUUUUGUGCGGAUCUGGUUUCCCAGGCCUGUGCGCCCACAAGGGUCCUUCGGGUUCAAAACCCUGACUCGGGCCUGCGACAACACUGUAAAAAAAAAAAAAACAGCCCUCUUACAGAGAAGAGCAGUGAGAUAUCGGCUCAGUGCGAGCACGAAGCCUGAACAAACAGACCGCUGGAGGGGAAAUGGGGCUUGUACAAACUCAGUGACAUUACACAGUGGCCUUGAGAUUAUCUCCAGUGAAAAUGAGAUGCUAAACGAGAGCCACGGUUCGAGAAAAAGACGAGCUGAAGAACCUCUGCUGAGUCAUAGUGCUUCUGUAAUUUACUAAGGUCACGCGGCGUCAAACGAGCAGGAUUCCGACUCCGAAAAGACACUCUGACCUUGACGUUCUCCUGUUUCUCGUCUUCUAAAACCAGACCGAGGCUCACAAUAUCUUCCUAGCGCACCAGUUCUGAGCUUUAGCGUCUCAUAUAACAAUGCCCGGCUUUGGUCUCUUCUCGGAGGACGAGAGAUCAUUUUGUCGGGGAGCGACCUCAGAGGCGGCAUUCCGCCCACGUUUAUGCCGCUGUUUCGGCUUCGCGUCUCUCUGGGUUACGAAUCCAAGUCGUUUAAUGAACGGUGUUUUCUCUCAACACGAAUCCACACACAUCGGCGUACGGAAGGACGACUCGGAGAACUCGGGAGACACGGGACAGAUUUGGAUUCCCUUAAAAUAGGACGCUAAACCUGUGGCGUGUUCUUCCGAAAACAACAAGUCGAUGACACCAAGACGUCGAUCUAGGGAAAAAUCAAGUCCCGAGAAAGUUAUACACGAUGCCUGACGGUUAUAACGUUAUUUGUCGUGAUUUAUAAUCAGACCAGACAAUAAUUCCCAGCUAGGUCCUGGGUUAGCCUUACAUAUUUUCAUUUCUCAGACACGUCGGUUAAUUAGCUGUUUUGUUGGACCAGGAAUGUUAGGAGAACGGAUACUCCAGAACCGGGUUUAGGAACCACUGCGUCAGUUUUGACUUUAAAUGUAGGUUUGUGUUUUAGAAGGUUCACUCAUUGGUUUUCAGUAAGCGCUUUAUCCUGGUCAUUGUCCUGGAUCCAGAGUCUAUCCCAGGAACUCCGGCGAGGUGGGAAUAAAUCAUGGAUGGGACGUUCUCUGGAAGAUAAAAGUCUGGAUUUGGUAGAGUUAUGGAUUCACUGGAGAACAAACAGAAACAACAUUGUUACAUACAUCAGUCUUGGGGGGGAAAACAACGGUGUUCCUUCGAUACACAGAGGUGGGAAAUAAUCAUUACACUGCGACUAUACUUAAGUCCGGUUUUUCCGAACGUAUCUCACCUUCUACGUUUCAGUAGAAAACAAAAAUCAUACAUUAAUAUCUUUCAAACACGACAUCCCUGCAUGUCUCUAUAAUCAUAUAUGUGUAAAGAUUUAAGCUGACGUUUUUUGAUUGGAAAGCAGCAAUCAUGUGACCGAGAGAAUGAGAACUAACACCCGACACGGUAAUCUAUCUGCUUCUGCGUACGCUUUGUAUAGAGUUAAUAUUAUCCUAGCUAACAUUUGAGAGGUUGUAGUUGGUUCGUUAGCUUUAGAUACCGUCUUCCCACGUUCCUCGGUUCUGAAACGAAUCAGACUGAAGGCAAGCGUCGUCUCCUUCUGGGAUUCUUCCUGCUUCCGAUUUCCCUUCCUUUGAAGACUUGAGGAAAAUAUAAGCGUUUUCUACUUUGACUGAAGACUCUGAUGCUGUAUUUCAGCUUUUAGCUGAGGAUUUGUUUACGUAAGUCGCACUUUUACUUGAGCAAAGAAUUUGGAGACUUGUAUCAACACGAGCCGCGAAUAUCGGAUCGCUGGUUUAUAUAAAGUCUGAGACACGUGAUAGCGGCGGUGGUGUUAGCUUUAGCAGAAGGAGACGUUAGACUUGGCUCGCAGCCUGCCAAAGCGCAAACAAGUUCGGACGGUUGCUGAUUCACGGUGCUAACUCAGCGUCUGCAAUUCAUCGAGGUUAGAACUACGCGGCGUUAAAUGAGCAGGACCGGGUAAUUAAUUAUAAUUGAUUAUAAUUGAAAUCUCGACACUCCCCGGUUUGUUGUCUUUGAAGUCGUUUACGCAGUCGUCCGAGUUAGCUCGACGUAUGCUGGCGUUGGAAAGGGCUACUCCCAAAACGCCCACAGAAAACCAGAUUCUGUGAUCUUCCAGAUCAUGUCGUAUAGCACAGAGCUUCGCUUUUGUAGGUUUUCGCAGGAUAAGAGAUCAUUUCGUUGGUUUCACAGGCACACUGGAGCGGCUGCGGAGAUGGCGUCCGCCCACGUUUAGCUGUCUUAGCUGCAAAUCCAACUCACUUAAUGUUGUGGUCCCUUUUUACAGAUUUUAAAGAUGCAGUCUAUGAGCUGUUGGGAAUGAGGCUGUGAGACGUGUUUCACGCGAUUUCUCCCCAGGAAUUUGGUUUGAGUAAUGCACAGACCGGGAGAUGUGUGUGGCGUUAAUAGGAGCGGGCUGGUGAGGGACAGCGCGACUGCCUAAGCCCCUCUGCUUUGUUCCCACAUUGCAAGGUUAACGAUUUUCCGUCCUGGGUGGCUGAAUUAGAAUUCAGCUCCCGUCCUCGGCACUGAGACGCUGUCUGCUGCCUUCCCAGCAGCCCCGGCGCACAGUGACAGGGAGAUGGAUGAUAUCUGCAGCAUGGGCCGCUCGGCUCGGGAGGAGGGGGAGAGGGUGCAUUGAGUGCACUCUCUCUCUCUCUCUCUCUCUCUCUCUCUUACACACACACUUUUACACACACAUACACACACACCCCCAAGUUGUGCACACAACCAGACAGUCACAUAUAUGACAGCACAUACACAUGCACACUGUCAUGCACACAUGAAAGCACACACACACACACACACACACACACACACACACACACACACACACAGAUGCAAGGACACAAAGCAUAACGGACAGUCAUGCAUUUUGAUGUAGAUGCAUGUGCACACAUGACAGUGUGGACACACACACACACACACACAAAUGAUAUACAUGACACAUUUGUAUGCAGAUAUACAUCUGAGGCAGGUGCACACAUACACACACACACACACACACAAGUUGGGACAUGCAAACAAUUAAGCACACACUGAGCAAUACAGUGCAGUACAGACUGUAACACACUCACACUAUUAUAAUAUACAAUUAUGCACACAAAAAACAAACACACACACACGUUGUGACAUAAAUACAAUUAUGCACACACAGAGUACUACAGUCCCAUAUACAUUGUGUAUCAACACACACACACACACACGUAGUGUAACUUUAAAAUCCAUUUACGUGCCUUUAUUUAAAGGUACACCAUAUCAACAUUUCUAGGUGAAAGAUACAAACUAUUAGCGUCACCACACCACCAACAUACAGGAAAGGUACGGUUCGGUAUCCCGAAUUUUCUUGCAGGGUGGCUAGUUCUCUCAAUAUCGUGCUGCUUGGCUACCUAGCAUUAGCAAGUAACAUAACGAGGUUCAAAGUUCAGAAGGUUCAGAAUUUCAAACGACACGGUGAAAAUGACGGGCUUUAUUGUGUGAUGUUUGGAUGUGAAGUUGAUGGACACCAGGACAUGUAGUGACACAACACGCUCAAAAUAACGAACAAUACAUCAACACAUUAGGAGAGACAGAAAAGGAUUAUUUCCAUUAUACUUUAUUGAUCAUUUUGAAAUUUCAAAGACACGUUGAAAUAUGUAUAAAUUAUUAUUUUAUUAUUUUUCUAUUUCAUAUUUAUUAGCUUUACAGUAUAAGCACAUUAUAUAUAUAUAUGGCAUUGAAUUAAAGGACCCACAGAAUAAGUUAUACUUAUUAAGUUUGUGUUAUUAUGGAAGUUAUAGGCCUCUCUGGGUGUGUGUGUGUGUGUGUGUGUGUAUGUUUCUACACAUUGUAUAUAGGACUGUAGUACUCUGUGUGUGCAUAAUUGUAUGCAUGUCCUAACAUGUGUGUGUGUGUGGGCAUGCAUUUAUAUCUUGGUCCCCACAAGGGUAAGAAUAUCCGGCAGGUUUGACCUUGCGGGGACAUUUGGCUGGUCCUCAUUGGACGGUCCUCACAAGGACACUAAGACAAAUGUGAACAGUGUAUAUAUGUGUAUAUAUAUAUAUAUAUAUAUAUGUAUGUAUGUAUGUAUGUAUGUAUGUAUGUGUGUGUGUGUGUGUGUGUGUGUGUGUGUGUCUGUGAGUCUUCUGUAUAUGCAGAACUUACCAGCUGUGCUUUCCUUACUGCACACCCUACCACGUGACUUACACACACACACACACACACACACUGCCGCAAGGGUAGCGCUACAUGACUUAUGCAUGGCCGACGUGGAAAAGCCUUUAGGUCGACCAGGAUGACUUCUGGGGAAAGUCACAGACUUCAGUUAGGAGAACGCGUCGCUUUACAUCAGGCGAUAACAUCAGCACGUAAGGUGUACCCAAACCUGUAAAAUAAAUAAACAAACAAACUAAUCAGUAGAUAAAAAGAUGGAUAGAUCAAAUCAAAUCAAGUGACUUUUACUGUCGUUUCAGCCAUCUACAGCUGGUACAGUACGCCAUGAAACAAAACAACGCUCCUCCAGGACCACGGUGAUACAUACAGCAACACAAUAACCACCUGAGACGACACAGAACUAAAUAAGACCUACACGUUUCUACAUAAAGUGUGCAGACAACAACGACUUAUAGAUAGAUAAUAGCCAGCAUCAUCACUGUUAUUAUGUGACGACAUUAUACUAUUUUAAUACGUUAUUAUCGUACUACAUAAUAAAUCUGAUUAAGCUGGACAUAAAAAAACAAAACAAAACCAGAUGCAUACGCAUUACUAUCCAUAAUUAUUAAUGAAGCGAUUUAUUGUUAGGCCCCACCAAAAUCUAACUCUAAUCUCAACCACGGGGACCAGCAAGAUGUCCCAACAAGGUCAAACCUGUGAGAUAUUCCUAUUCUCGUUUAUACGCACACACCACCGGUCAAAAGUUUGCGGACGCUCGACGGAAACGUUUCUCGUGGUCUUAAAAACCUUUUGAUCUGAAGGUGUGUGAUUAAACGUGUGAAAUCGGUGUCGUGGACAACAAAUAUAAUCAUGCAAAAACGUAUUCGUUUCUUCCAUUAGAAAACUAACGUUUCAUUUACGAAUAAAUGUUUGUUUACACGGACGACUCGGAGCGAAACGUUCCGAAAAGCAGCCGGUAAGAGUCCGGCGUCGGCGUGAACUCCUUUAAUACGGUUUAAAAAUCAUCUCGGGGAAAUUCCUCAAGAAAUCGGUCGAGAAAACGGCAAGAACGCAUUUCUGGAAGUUCUAGAAAUUCAGAAAGCGUGUCUAUUUUGAAGAUGCUAAAACACUCAAUUGUUUCGUUUUAUUUUGGAUUUUUUUAACACAACAUAAUUCCCAUAGUUCCACUUGUGCUCCUCCAGAGUUUUGAUGACUUUAUUAUUAUUCGACAAUGUGGAGAAAAAAUUUAAAUAAAGAAUGAGUGUGUGUAAACUUUUGACCAUAGUGUGUAUAUACUGAAUUAAAAACGUAUAAAUUUUUAAAUACAUGCACACACACUAAUUUUAUUUUUUUUUUUUACCUGCAUGCUGCACAAGGUGACUUCUUAACUUUCUAUUCCUGAAAAAAAAGAUGAACAGGACGUGAGUUAAUGAGACAGUAACAUGAAAAGGCAGAUCUCUCUCUCUCUCUCUCUGUGUGUGUGUGUGUUUUUUCUCUCAGAGUUCACUUGAGGAUGCAGGAAAGCAGAUGUACGAGUUUUUCCCUGCCAAAACUCUCUGUGAGCUCUAAUACAAAGGAAGACCGCAAGCUGAGUAGUGUAGGUACUUGUGUAUGUGUGUGUGCGCGCGCGUCACACUCUCUUUCCCCUCACAGAACAACUUCGCUAAAGUUCCCACGUUCAGCUGCCAAUCACACGCCGGUCACACUCGAUUUACACAACCACAAACACAGGUUUGCUCAAGGGAAGGUUUCAGCAAUAUAAUCAGUGUGUGUGUGUGUAUGAGUGAGUGUCCACAGCAGAAAGUUAAGGCUGGUACACCUUCGGCGCAUGUUGCCAAUGGCUGGUGAGUUAAAAGUGGCGCCAGCUGUAGGUCGUAUUGAAGCUGUGGCCUCUGGAAAGACCGAGCUAUGAGACACAGCCUCAUUAUCCUCUACAACGAGAGAGAAAGAGAGAGAGAGAGAGAGAGAGAGAGAGAGAGAGACAGUCGCGGUUCAAUAACUCCGACCAGAUAGCACGUUUCCCUGGCAACACCUCCGAAGCAGCUCUGCAGAGAUCCCAGAGAGAGAGAGAGAGAGAGAGAAAGAGAGAGACAGAAAGGGGGAGGGCGAACAAGGGGAAGGAAGGAAGGAAGGAAGGAAGGAAGGAGGAGACCUAGACAGCGUUGGGGUGGGAGGCAGUUCUGGGUGACACUUGUGCUCAGUACAAACAUUAAAGACUGUUAACACACACAAACAGGAGUCCAGCGGAGAACGUACACACCCAUACAUACUUUUUUUUCUUAACCAGGUAAUGUGUGUGUACAGACUUCUAAUGAUGAGUGUAUUACAUACGCUCCAUAUUUCCAUCCUUUAUGAGCCAACAGCAGAACCGUGAGACUUUGGGAAUAAAAAUGUCCCGCAUAGCGUUUGAAGCUAAUUUGAUUAGCGCUAAUAAAAUUCAAAGACCGAUGUUACAUUAUGUAUGUGUAAAGGAUACACACGAAUGGUCCAUUCUUGUGGCAUUCACGACUUCCGAAGUUGACUUGGGAAAUUUCCACUGUCACUCUGCCUUUAUACUGUGCAUAUAAGUGCAAGCUCGCUAAAUCAUUAGCGUCAGCCAUUAGAUACAACAAUGUAACACUUAGUAGUACCAGUGAAGGAGGCGUGUCCUCUUUGUCUGUAAGUACAGUGAAGGAGGUGUGUCCUCUGUGUCUAUAAGUACAGUGAAGGAGGCGUGUCCUCUGUGUCUAUAAGUACAGUGAAGGAGGCGUGUCCUCUGUGUCUAUAAGUACAGUGAAGGAGGCGUGUCCUCUUUGUCUGUAAGUACAGUGAAGGAGGUGUGUCCUCUGUGUCUAUAAGUACAGUGAAGGAGGCGUGUCCUCUUUGUCUGUAAGUACAGUGAAGGAGGUGUGUCCUCUGUGUCUAUAAGUACAGUGAAGGAGGCGUGUCCUCUUUGUCUGUAAGUACAGUGAAGGAGGUGUGUCCUCUUUGUAAGUACAGUGAAGGAGGCGUUUCCUCUUUGUCUGUAAGUACAGUGAAGGAGGCGUGUCCUGUGUCUAUAAGCACAGUGAAGGAGGCGUGCCCUCUUUGUAAGUACAGUGAAUGAGGCGUGUCCUCUUUGUCUGUAAGUACAGUGAAGGAGGCGUGUCCUCUGUGUCUAUAAGUACAGUGAAGGAGGCGUGUCCUCUGUGCUGGUUAGUCUCUGCGAAAGAGGCGUGGUCUCUGCGUCUAUCAGUACUAGCGAAGGAGGCGUGUCCUUGAACUUGAACUUACAGAAUACUGUAUCGUAUAUACAGCAGGCAGAUUUAAAAGUGUUUUUCACACUUCGGAUUGUGACCACAUCACACACUGAACACUAAAGAACACUAACUCCCAACGCUAUCGGCAACGCCCACUGCAGAGCUUCCGUAAAUGAAUCCCAGCGUUUCAGCGUAAGCCCAGCAUGCAUUUAAUGGUUGAGUGACUAUAACGGAGACUGCGACGACAAAAAUCUGUGAACAUGGAGCGAAUGUUUGACUUUGGAUUGGGACGGAGUCUAAUUCUGAUUAGAAUACGCAGGUGACUGUCUGGCCUCCCACUGCAGUGUCUGGAAACUCAGACAUAAGACUCCCCACCCGCUCCCCCCUCCUGCGUGUGCAACACACACACACACACACACACACACACACACACACACACACACACACACACUGCUGGUUUCUCAGAUUUGGAUUGAUAAGACUUCGGCAAAGUCUGACAUUAACGCCGCCUUCGAUCGAUAGGAAAAACAAGGCUGUAAUCCUCCAAAUCUGGACGCCGUCUCAAGCUCCUGAGCAGCUCUUAAUCUACUUUCGGCAUGUUUCACAUGCACAGAUGUUAAGUACAGUUUGUAAAGGACACAAGCGCUUUCUUUAACCCCCUCGACAGACCGUUUUAAUACGGCGUCUACCACCGUCAGCCUUUAUCGCUUGACAUUUAAGAGAAUUUUCUCACGGCGCUUGGCGAGACAGGUGAGACCACGCAGCAGAACGGGGCACCUGUGUGCCGCAUUUUCAUCAAGCGAUGGAACGACCGAGAAGCUGCUUUCAUUUCAUACAAACUGCUUUAAAUAUGAGUCGUACGAACGCUCAUUACUGAGUUUUAGUAUUUAGAUGUCCGUUUUACUACAUCCCCAGCUCUUAUUCGACUUUUAUUUAUUUAUUUAUUUAUUUAUUUAUUUUUACAGGAUUGCAGGGAUGUUAAAUGAUUACUUCCUGAAUGAAGUCGGGGCCUGACACGAGUGAUGUGAGGUCGAGGUAAAGCUAUAUAAUGAAAAAUAAGUGACCAUGACAAGAUGACAAAUGCUGAUGUCCUCCCUCUAGGGAUCUAACGAAGAAAGAAGAAAAAGAAAAAGAAAAGAAAGGGAAAAAAAAAAAAAAAAAAAAAACGCAGAACAUGACUUUUUUUUCUUUUCUUUUCCCUUUUUAAAGAACGUGUGCUCUGUGAUUUAUUAGGGAGCGCAGUACGCUAAUCAAGCGUAUUAAAACUGAAGUAAAUAUGCGAGGGUGACAGACACUCCCUCAUAAUAAAGACGGAUAAAUGAAACACGAGGAAAGCAAAUAAUACAAAUCAGUGUUUAAAAACCUUUCCUUUUUUUUUUUUACUGCUUAUAGAGGAAGUGAUUAUCGUAGCAUCUGCACUUGAAAAGGUCUUUGUGUGCGUGUGUGUGCGCGUGUGUGUCUGCCUUCAUCUCUGUCUUGUGUGUAAAACAAACCGAGACACGCAAAUGACCGAUAUGCCAAUGUGUCCCUGACUAAAUCUGUAAAUAUUAAAAGCAAGCGGAGUGAGGAGGGGUGCGUGUGUGUGUGUGUGCGUGUGUGUGGCUCACUAGACCCUUUAAAACACAUCAAUCCAUUUAUUAAACAUUUUUUUUUUCAUUUGCCGUCGCGCCACAUCCUCUGUACUCAGCUAUAGAGGGGGGUCGAAUAUUUAUAGGACGGUUCAGAUGAGCUCUGAAAAGUGUGCUGUGCGUGUGUGUGUGUGUGUGUGUGUGUUGGUGGGGGUAGGGAGAGCAGUGAAUUUCAUCAUUGCCUUGGCGCUGCCAGGCUUCGGCAAGUGUCAGACAGAUUCUAAUAAAAGUGUCUGGCCCCACGGUGGGCACCGGGCUGGCGCUUGCCGUGCCGCGGCUGACUGCUUGGUAUGCGUGGAGCAUGGCAGCGCUUCAGCUGUUGCUGGGGGCUCUGUGGUAAAGAGUCACACUGAUUAGUUGGCAUCGGCCAUUGUUCGGUGCGAGACCAAACGGGGGGAGAAAAUACAAUUAGAGCCCGAGAGAGACGGUGAAAGAGAGAGAGAGACCGAGACAGAGAGACAGAGUGCGAAAGAGAAAGAGAGAGAGAGCGUCUGAAGGGAAAAGCCAUUGUUUUUGAAAAACAGCAUUUCUAAUGUGGGUAAUUUAGCAAAAUUAGAUUCUUAAAAGUUGAACACUCCGGGGAGCACGUAACAAAAUUAGCCGUAACACUUAAUGAGCUCGGUUCGCGGAGGGAAAGAACGAAGAAGAAGAAAAGAGAAUCCGAGUGUACCGAGUGAACCCGGACUGCAGAUCAGUCGUUAAAUGUCAGGCCGCCUUUCCGGCGGGAGCAGACGCCUGGGCGGCAUUAGAGAAACUAAUCUGCAGUUCGGUUCUGAAAGUUUGCGCCGAUAUUCUGAGACGAGGAGGUGUGUGGAUUAAUUAAGCGACAGAAACCGUACCAGGAGUCAGACUUUGUCUGGGGGGGGGAGAAAAAAAAAAAAGACAGAGCAAUGAGCGGUGUGUUUACUCAAUACGUGAAACCCUUUUAAGGACAAGGUGGUGAAUAACGAAGGAACACGAGGAACAACGUGCGUAACCGAUUCAUGUUUAAAACGGUACUGAGGGCUGAGGACGAACCGGGUGUCGUGCCUGGAUGAAAAGGGAAAAAAAGAAGAAAAAAAAAAACCCCCACGGAGAUGUUACUUGAACGUUACAGAUUACAGGACGUCCUUUUACUGCAAAAAUGCCUGUUUUAAACGUCAUCAACCUCCUCGUGAGUGAGGAAAAAAAAAAAACACAGUGUUUUGCUCGGCGUCGUUUGUUUUUAAUUCGGAGAAGUCGAUAUCCGAUAAGGCUUCGUUAAGAGAAUCGUUAAAGUAAUAAUCUCUUAUUGACGUGAAAGGGCGACUAGACGACACGUUAGUAAUCUACGCAUCUUUACGCACGUUAGAUUGUUGAGUAACAGAGGACGCAUCGUGCUGCCUAGUGGCCUGCGAGGGAAAAACACAUCAACAGCUAAACAAGUUGGACAAAAUUAAAAAUCUUUAUUUUAAAGUUUUAUUGAACAACCUCUACAAGCCGAACACAGAUUCGUUACAGAACAUGCGGCGCGAUGAAAGCUGCGUGGGGGGAAAAAACAACAACAACAACAACAACAACAACAAAGCGAAGAAAGGCGUUGUCUAGACUGCAAACUGCUGUAACAGCAGCUUUCCGCCAGGUCUAACUGCUUCACCGUCCCUGGUUCCUUUUAGUCCCUGUUCCUAGGACAUCGGUCGGCGUCCUGCCUCGCUCUCCUGCGUCGCCUCGGGAGGAAAGUUCGAAGAGUCGCUCUUGCCCUCCGCCCAGGUCCCAAGAGCCUAACCCGUGAUUUUGCAUUCACUCAGCUCACAAGUUAGGGUCUCAGGGAACAGGAGAAGUACAGCAUGGUCCGAAGAGGUGCAGGGGUUAGAGUGUGUGGGGGGGAAGAACCAGGAUCCUGUCUCUCGCUCUCUCUCUCUCGCUCUCUCUCUAUCAUGCACACACACACACACACACACACACACACACACGCGCGCGCCCUCUUUCCUGUGUGGCUGCUCUUUGUUCAGCGUCCGGCUCUGUUCGUCUCGGCGGGCCAAAGCUCUGUCUGGUACCGUACAACAACACCGGCCCUCUGCAGACGGAUCAGGAUAUAAACACACACACACACACACACACACACAAAAUCCCCCCUCCUCUCCACCCCGAUAUUUCACCCGAUAACGUGUCCUGCAUUCCACGCUAGUCGCUAAAAUCCGAACGCUGACCCGACCGGACGAAAGCAGGCGACGCGACCGAUAAAGAGCAAACGAGUUUUUAAAAACGAACACGCCUUUUCAGACUUUCGCAUUUCUCCGUCGAAAAUGCAGCGGCGAGUCCGUGGCACCCUGCGCUGCGCUAACUAGCCUUUGUUGGCUGAGGUAAGCCCCCAGUCAGACGGUCAGUCUCUCUCUCUCUUUCUCUCUCUCUCUCUUCUUUGUCUUCAGAGCCACAGCAUUGGUGUGCAUCUCUCACCUUGCUGAUCUGCUGCAAGCGGCUUGUACGGAAAGGCAGAGGUGCAGCUCAGACACAGAGAAAGGGGGAAGGACUCGGGAUUCGCGCCUCUCGCAAACGAUUCCGUAUCAGCAAAAAAAGAAAGAAAGGAAAGGAAAAAAAAGAGAAAAAAGUGCGAGCCGCUGAUCGGCGGCGGCUGCAGUUCUCCGCCGCUCCCCCUCUACUCCCCCCAACCUGCACUCAUUUAAC
ensembl:lncRNA